rnacentral:tRNA from 1 species
GGCUCUCAAUAUCGGUUGCAACCCGAACACAGCGGUAUAAAUAUCGCGUUAGUCU